rnacentral:rRNA from 1 species
AGAGUUUGAUCCUGGCUCAGGACGAACGCUGGCGGCGUGCCUAAUACAUGCAAGUAGAACGCUGAAGAGAGGAGCUUGCUCUUCUUGGAUGAGUUGCGAACGGGUGAGUAACGCGUAGGUAACCUGCCUUGUAGCGGGGGAUAACUAUUGGAAACGAUAGCUAAUACCGCAUAACAAUGGAUGACCCAUGUCAUUUAUUUGAAAGGGGCAAAUGCUCCACUACAAGAUGGACCUGCGUUGUAUUAGCUAGUAGGUGAGGUAACGGCUCACCUAGGCGACGAUACAUAGCCGACCUGAGAGGGUGAUCGGCCACACUGGGACUGAGACACGGCCCAGACUCCUACGGGAGGCAGCAGUAGGGAAUCUUCGGCAAUGGGGGCAACCCUGACCGAGCAACGCCGCGUGAGUGAAGAAGGUUUUCGGAUCGUAAAGCUCUGUUGUAAGUCAAGAACGAGUGUGAGAGUGGAAAGUUCACACUGUGACGGUAGCUUACCAGAAAGGGACGGCUAACUACGUGCCAGCAGCCGCGGUAAUACGUAGGUCCCGAGCGUUGUCCGGAUUUAUUGGGCGUAAAGCGAGCGCAGGCGGUUUGAUAAGUCUGAAGUUAAAGGCUGUGGCUCAACCAUAGUUCGCUUUGGAAACUGUCAAACUUGAGUGCAGAAGGGGAGAGUGGAAUUCCAUGUGUAGCGGUGAAAUGCGUAGAUAUAUGGAGGAACACCGGUGGCGAAAGCGGCUCUCUGGUCUGUAACUGACGCUGAGGCUCGAAAGCGUGGGGAGCGAACAGGAUUAGAUACCCUGGUAGUCCACGCCGUAAACGAUGAGUGCUAGGUGUUGGAUCCUUUCCGGGAUUCAGUGCCGCAGCUAACGCAUUAAGCACUCCGCCUGGGGAGUACGACCGCAAGGUUGAAACUCAAAGGAAUUGACGGGGGCCNGCACAAGCGGUGGAGCAUGUGGUUUAAUUCGAAGCAACGCGAAGAACCUUACCAGGUCUUGACAUCCCGAUGCUAUUUCUAGAGAUAGAAAGUUACUUCGGUACAUCGGUGACAGGUGGNGCAUGGUUGUCGUCAGCUCGUGUCGUGAGAUGUUGGGUUAAGUCCCGCAACGAGCGCAACCCCUAUUGUUAGUUGCCAUCAUUCAGUUGGGCACUCUAGCGAGACUGCCGGUAAUAAACCGGAGGAAGGUGGGGAUGACGUCAAAUCAUCAUGCCCCUUAUGACCUGGGCUACACACGUGCUACAAUGGUUGGUACAACGAGUUGCGAGUCGGUGACGGCAAGCUAAUCUCUUAAAGCCAAUCUCAGUUCGGAUUGUAGGCUGCAACUCGCCUACAUGAAGUCGGAAUCGCUAGUAAUCGCGGAUCAGCACGCCGCGGUGAAUACGUUCCCGGGCCUUGUACACACCGCCCGUCACACCACGAGAGUUUGUAACACCCGAAGUCGGUGAGGUAACCUUUUGGAGCCAGCCGCCUAAGGUGGGAUAGAU